rnacentral:tRNA from 1 species
UAUAUUUUAGUAUAGGAUGUACAAGGGUUUUUGAUACUCUAGGAGGUGGUUUAAAUCUACUAAAUAUAA